AACGCUAGCUACAGGCUUAACACAUGCAAGUCGAGGGGCAGCAUGGUCUUAGCUUGCUAAGGCCGAUGGCGACCGGCGCACGGGUGAGUAACACGUAUCCAACCUGCCGUCUACUCUUGGACAGCCUUCUGAAAGGAAGAUUAAUACAAGAUGGCAUCAUGAGUCCGCAUGUUCACAUGAUUAAAGGUAUUCCGGUAGACGAUGGGGAUGCGUUCCAUUAGAUAGUAGGCGGGGUAACGGCCCACCUAGUCUUCGAUGGAUAGGGGUUCUGAGAGGAAGGUCCCCCACAUUGGAACUGAGACACGGUCCAAACUCCUACGGGAGGCAGCAGUGAGGAAUAUUGGUCAAUGGGCGCAGGCCUGAACCAGCCAAGUAGCGUGAAGGAUGACUGCCCUAUGGGUUGUAAACUUCUUUUAUAAAGGAAUAAAGUCGGGUAUGGAUACCCGUUUGCAUGUACUUUAUGAAUAAGGAUCGGCUAACUCCGUGCCAGCAGCCGCGGUAAUACGGAGGAUCCGAGCGUUAUCCGGAUUUAUUGGGUUUAAAGGGAGCGUAGAUGGAUGUUUAAGUCAGUUGUGAAAGUUUGCGGCUCAACCGUAAAAUUGCAGUUGAUACUGGAUAUCUUGAGUGCAGUUGAGGCAGGCGGAAUUCGUGGUGUAGCGGUGAAAUGCUUAGAUAUCACGAAGAACUCCGAUUG
rnacentral:rRNA from 2 species